UACGGGGGGGGGGGCAAGCGUUGUUCGGAAUUACUGGGCGUAAAGGGCGCGUAGGCGGCCUUCUAAGUCGGACGUGAAAUCCCUCGGCUUAACCGAGGAACUGCGUCUGAUACUGGAAGGCUUGAAUCCGGGAGAGGGAUGUGGAAUUCCAGGUGUAGCGGUGAAAUGCGUAGAUAUCUGGAGGAACACCGGUGGCGAAGGCGGCGAUCUGGACGAUGACUGACGCUGAGACGCGAAAGCGUGGGGAGCAAACAGG
rnacentral:rRNA from 1 species